rnacentral:rRNA from 1 species
GGACUACCCGGGUAUCUAAUCCUGUUUGAUCCCCAUGCUUUCGGGUCUCAGCGUCAAUGUUGGGCCAGUUAGCCGCCUUCGCCACCGGUGUUCCUCCAGAUAUCUACGUAUUUCACCACUACACCUGGAAUUCCACUAACCUCUCCCACAUUCAAGCUCUGCAGUAUCAAAAGCACUUCCCAAGUUAAGCUCGGGGCUUUCACUCCUGACUUAUAGAGCCGCCUACACCCGCUUUACGCCCAAUGAUUCCGAACAACGCUUGGACCCCUCGUCUUACCGCGGCUGCUGGCAC